GCGUUUGCUCUUAUGGUCCGCAUACAAGCUAACGAUUUAUUCACUAAAAAGGACCGGGAAAAACAAUAAAUUUUACAGUUAGGUCCUAAAAGAGAUUGACCCAUUAAAAUUUAUAGGAAAAUCCAAUGAAUCUCGCGAGCCACACUCGAUCGGUAGAAUGUAUAAGAAAAUCUAAUAAAUUAUACAGUUUUGAAUAAUAAUACAUUAUAAAUUUGCUCAGAGGUUUUGUUCGUUUUUUGUGUCGCUGUUCAACUGAAAUUGAAGUUGAUUAAUUUCAGCCCAUCCGUACAAAAAAGUGAAGCUCAACAAAUAGAACGAAUAUACAAUUAAAAGCGAGCAGUACCAAUAUGAAAAUGGACGCCUUAGAUCCCUAAAUGGUUUUUCGUUUCCGGAAAUUAGAAUUCACGGAAUCAACUCACCCAUCAAUGGCGGACGACCGCGGAAUUUCGAGUCUCUGCCCAAGCAUCCAGAAUUCCCUUUAGAAGGGUCUGUGCUAACAAGAAGAAAGGUUUGUUUUUGUUAUUACCAACUUUUCUAAACCGAGGACACCUUCAAGUCGGAAGUUUGGGUUUCGGUUCAUCACCAUUCUAACACCAGUGCUAAACACCUUGCCUGUGCCAUAGUAAAGUGUUUAAUUAUUCUAAAUUUGAUAGCAGCUAUGAAAGAAACAAUAAAAUUUUCAAAGUAAACAAAAAUAAGUUGUAUCCCACUUUUUUCGGAAAGA